ensembl:lncRNA
GACGCGGUGGCGGCCGUCACCCCCCCGGCGCAGGGGGCGGCGCGGAAGCAAAACCCACGCAGAGGGAACGGUAUUUCCAGGUUUCUGUUUAAUUUCAAGGGGAAAAAAAAAAAUCACAUUUAAAUUACAACUUAACCGGGGAUUUAAUGUGGUCUCUUCUGGAUAGAUUUAAUAAACUUUGUUCUGAAGGGGGGAUUUAUUUGUUGCAGCGUUAAAUAAUUGCAUAUUCAAGAUUUUGUGAAAUGGGUGACGGGGGAAGAACGGCGGAAAGACGUUUAUAAAAAACAUUAUUUACAAAAAAUGAUAUCCACAUAUUUGUCUCCUAAGCUAUAAGGCAAGUUAACAUUUAAAAUAUGUUGUUUCAUGAUUAUCUUCAACAAGCCAAUACAACACAUUCAGGUUACCAGUGGUCAAAUACAAGCUCUGCUGCGCUAGUCCGGACGCAAACAGCCGCCGUCACCUCUCGUACAGCUUUUCUCUGAGAGCAGCAGGGAAGCAGCGAGGGUUUCAUCACCGACUACGCAGCACCUAGGCCAUCCUGGACUAAAGGUAUGCUAUAUUUCAUUGCACGUGUAGGCAAAAAAGGCCAGCCGUUAACUUAGUCAACUUAAAUCUUAAAAAUAGACUUGUGUAUCUUAAUCCACAAAUAUUUAUAAACACUUUAUACACAAGGGGGCUUCAUAAAAGGAUACCGCCUAUAUAGAGGGGAAGCCUGGGAAAUCUGGUGUUCCCGCGCGCGUGUGCGGCGCUGCAGGUGUUCCCGCGUGUGUGCAGCACGGCAGGUGUUCACAGACGUGUGUGUGCGGCGCUGCAGGUGUUCCCGCGUGUGUGCAGCGCGGCAGGUGUUCACAGACGUGUGUGUGCGGCGCUGCAGGUGUUCCCACGUGUGUGCAGCGCGGCAGGUGUUCGCACGCGUGUGUGUGCGGCGCUGCAGGUGUUCCCGCGUGUGUGCAGCGCGGCAGGUGUUCACAGACGUGUGUGUGCGGCGCUGCAGGUGUUCCCGCGUGUGUGCAGCGCGGCAGGUGUUCACAGACGUGUGUGUGCGGCGCUGCAGGUGUUCCCGCGUGUGUGCAGCGCGGCAGGUGUUCACAGACGUGUGUGUGCGGCGCUGCAGGUGUUCCCGCGUGUGUGCAGCGCGGCAGGUGUUCACAGACGUGUGUGUGCGGCGCUGCAGGUGUUCCCGCGUGUGUGCAGCGCGGCAGGUGUUCACAGACGUGUGUGUGCGGCGCUGCAGGUGUUCCCGCGUGUGUGCAGCGCGGCAGGUGUUCACAGACGUGUGUGUGCGGCGCUGCAGGUGUUCCCGCGUGUGUGCAGCGCGGCAGGUGUUCACAGACGUGUGUGUGCGGCGCUGCAGGUGUUCCCGCGUGUGUGCAGCGCGGCAGGUGUUCACAGACGUGUGUGUGCGGCGCUGCAGGUGUUCCCGCGUGUGUGCAGCGCGGCAGGUGUUCACAGACGUGUGUGUGCGGCGCUGCAGGUGUUCCCGCGUGUGUGCAGCGCGGCAGGUGUUCACAGACGUGUGUGUGCAGCGCGGCAGGUGUUCACAGACGUGUGUGUGCGGCGCUGCAGGUGUUCCCGCGUGUGUGCAGCACGGCAGGUGUUCACAGACGUGUGUGUGCGGCGGAGCAGGGGGGCGCCGGGGGGGGGAGGGGGGGAGGG